GUGCUCACUUUGGCAGCACAUAUGCUAAAAUUGGAACUAUACAGAGAAGAUUAGCAUGGCCCCUGCACAAGGAUGACAUGCAGAGAUGAGCAAUCAGUUGAA